AGGUCUAUUAAACUACAGUGUGCAUUUUGUUGGCACUCAAAUCAAAUUGCAACUUUCACGUUAUGUUGAGGUAAUUUAAACUUCAUUUACAAGUAAUCAUGGUACUGAAUUCAAACGAGCACUAUCUAUGAUAGUUUCAUGAAUCUUCAUUUUUCCUCAUGGCCUUUUUGUUGACUGUUUGCACUUAUUGAAAAGUUUAGUUAUCUUUACUUCUGAAGAAUUAUUUAUUUAUUUAUAUCUAAUAUUGAUGUUGUCUUUAGAAAUGA